UACGGAGGGUGCAAGCGUUAUCCCGGAUUCACUGGGUUUAAAGGGUGCGUAGGCGGCAGGUAAGUCCGUGGUGAAAUCUCUGAGCUUAACUCAGAAACUGCCAUGGAUACUAUUGUCUUGAAUAUUGUGGAGGUAAGCGGAAUAUGUCAUGUAGCCGGUGAAAUGCUUAGAUAUGACAUAGAACACCCAAUUGCGAAGGCAGCUACUACACAGUUAUUGACGCUGAGGCACGAAGCGUGGGAUCAACAG
rnacentral:rRNA from 1 species